rnacentral:rRNA from 1 species
CCUUCGGGUGACGAGUNNNGUGGCGAACGGGUGAGUAACACGUGGGCAAUCUGCCCCUGGGUUGGGGAUAACACUUCCAACGAGGUGCUAAUACCGAAUGAUAAGGCGAGUUGAUGACUCGUUUUUAAAGGUGGCCUCUACUUGUAAGCUGCCGCCUAGGGAUGGGCCCGCGUCGUAUUAGCUUGUUGGUAGGGUAAUGGCCUACCAAGGCGACGAUGCGUAGCCGGCCUGAGAGGGUGAACGGCCACACUGGCGCUGAGAUAAGGGCCAGUCUCCUACGGGAGCCAGCAGUCUAGAAAUUUGCACAAUCGCCGAAAGGCGGAUGCAGCGACACCACGUGGAGGAUGAAGCCCCUCGGGGUGUAAACUCCUGUCAGAAGGGAAGAAGGCGCGGGCGUUAAUACCGCUCGUUGCUUGACGGUACCUUCAGAGGAAGCUCCGGCUAACUACGUGCCAGCAGCCGCGGUAAUACGUAGGGAGCGAGCGUUGUUCGGAUUUACUGGGCGUAAAGGGCACGUAGGCGGGUAUGCAAGUCGGUUGUGAAAUCCUCUGGCUCAACCAGAGAACUGCAGCCGAAACUGCAUACCUUGAGUCCAGCAGAGGGAAUCGGAAUCCUAGGUGUAGCGGUGAAAUGCGUAGAUAUCUGGGAGAACAUCAGUGGCGAAGGCGGAUUCCUGGGCUGGUACUGACGCUGAGGUGCGAAAGCUAAGGGAGCGAACAGGAUUAGAUACCCUGGUAGUCUUAGCCGUAAACGAUGGGUACUA